AUGUAUAUGAGGCAAGCACUCUUGCCACUAGGCCAUAUUCCCAGCCCCAAUGCAGUCUUUUUAAACUGCUAAAAUGGCCAGAUUUCAGGAGUAAAGUAUGCCCUGCUUGGAAGAAUAUACCAUAUUUUAUAAGAUUCUCAAGGAAAAGAUGAGAUACUCCCCUUUACUUUAUCUUCUUAGCACUUCCUGAGAACUUCUGUAGCAAACAUGUUUUCGGUGGAAAAGGUUUACAUUUGCUUGUUUGUUCGUGUGUGUGUGUGUGUGUGUGUGUGUGUGUGUGUGUGUGUGCGUUUCUUGUUUUCUGCCGAGUAAGUGUAUCUUUUCAUUUUACCCCAACCUCACCCUGGUUAAGAUCCAUGUAUUUGGGAAUGAGGUGUAUAUAUAGUGUAUUCCACAGAAAUUAACUUGGUAUGCAUUUGUGUAUUUUCUUUUUAGUCUAGAGUCUUCAGCAGGCUCUAAGUAAGAAUUUUGUAGUAUACACUGUGACCUAUGUUUAAGUUGGGAAAGUUUUCACUGUAUGGAACAGUGGGACUGAAUAUGCUCUCUGGUGUUUAGUUGGUUUGGUUUAUUUUUGUGUUUUUGAGAGAACAGUCUUAGGGCCUGAACUCAGGAUCUAGGUGCUGUCCCUGAGUUUUUGUACUCAGGCUACUUUCUGCUCUACCUUUUGAAUCACAACUCCA